AUAAUACGUUCGAUGCGUGCAUCUGAGCAUUACACGUGUAAAUUAAUACUAAUUGUGCUGCAGUACAUAAUAUGCAACUAAUUAUUUGCUCAUUAACCAUGCAACUUUUUGUCUGCGUUCUCCGGUGAAAGCACAACAAUGCGGUGCAAGAGUCACCCUCGCAUAUUUACACCAAUUGAUGCUCCUUUACCUAAAGCGUAUGAUGGGAGAGAUCUAAUUGGAUCGGCAAAUGCAUGGGUAUUCUAGGUAUCACCUGUGGAGUAACUCCUAAAUAUAACAGUACCUAUCAGAUGUGGAGGAAACCCUGAAAAAAUAUAUUAAAUUAGUUACAAGUUACAGAAAAACCCUAGAAAUACAAAAAAAAUUAAAUUACAGCUGUCGCUCCUCUACCCAAAGCUUGAGGGCGAGAUCCAUUUGGAUCAAAAGAUGAACAAGCAUCAGAUCAAGCGGAAAGCCUAAACAUAGAAGAAUAUGUUAAAUUGGGGCUCAAGGUAUUCCAAGCAUCAGAUAUGAGUGCGUGAUGUUUCAACCCAUGUCCCUCUACAUACGUGUAGGUGAAAUCCAAUUGGAUCAAUAGACGGUGAUGGGAGAGCUCCGAUCGGCUCAAGAGAAAAGUAUUCCAGGCAUCCAGAUGUGGCAAACACCUUAAGAAUAGAAAAACAGAUUAAUUUAUAGGUGAUGCAUCUCUACCUAUAGGACUUGUGGGCGAGAUCGAAUUGGAUCAACAGAUGAGUAUUCCAAGUAUAAUAUGUGGUGAAAAUCCUAAAAGUAGAAAAAUAUAUUAAAUAAGGACUAUGGUUAGAGAAAGGGAAUUUCGGGAAAGUCUAAUUGGUCAGAAAUGGAAAUUCUUAAGUAUCAAAUGUAGUGGAAAGCCUUGAAUUAAAGAAGGUUAAAGUUGGAGAUCCUAUUCGCUGACCAGAGGGGUAAACCAACCAUCGCCCAUCGUGGUAGACAACCUACUAUUAGUGCUUGUUCACAAUGGACAUAAGCGUAACAAAAACAUAACAGAUACAUAAUUCAUAAUGUUGAAUAGUA